GAAUACAGAAUGUGGGCAAACUCGCUUCUGUGCCGGCUACCAGAAGCACGUUUCUUGGAGAAGGCUAAGUGUGAGUGUCAUAUCUUCAAUGGGACGAAGCGGGUGCAGUACCUGAACAGAUACAUCCAUAAACGGGAAGAGAACCUGCGCUUCGACAGCGACGUGGAGGAGUUCCAGGCGGUGACAGAACUGGGGCGGCCUGUCGCAGAGAACUGGAACAGCCAGAAGGGAAUCCUGGAGGAGAAGCGGGACAAGGUGGACAUACUGCAGAUACAAUUACGGGGUUUUUGAGAGCUUCACAGUGCAGCCAUCAGUCCAACCUAAGGUGACUGUGUAUCCUUCAAAGACCCAGCCCCUGCAGCACCACAACCUCCUGGUCUGCUCUGUGAGUGGUUUCUAUCCAGGCAGCAUUGAAGUCAGGUGGUUCCGGAACGGCCAGGAAGAGAAGGCUGGGGUGGUGUCCACAGGCCUGAUCCAGAAUGGAGACUGGACCUUCCAGACCCUGGUGAUGCUGGAAACAGUUCCUCGGAGUGGAGAGGUUUACACCUGCCAAGUGGAGCACCCAAGCGUGACGAGCCCUCUCACAGUGCAAUGGAGAGCAUGGUCUGAAUCUGCACAGAGCAAGAUGCUGAGUGGAGUCGGGGGCUUUGUGCUGGGCCUGCUCUUCCUUGGGACGCGGCUGUUCAUCUACUUCAGGAAUCAGAAAGGACACUCUGGACUUCAGCCAACAGGACUUCUGAGCUGAAGUGCAGAUGACCACAUUCAAGGAAGAACCUUCUGCCCCAGCUUUGCAGGAUGAAAAACUUUCCCACUUGGCUCUUAUUCUUCCACAAGAGCUUUCUCAGGACCA